rnacentral:rRNA from 1 species
UAACUAGGAUUCCCUUAGUAGCGGCGAGCGAAGCGGGAAAAGCCCAGCACUUAGCCCAUUAAUUUUAAUUAAUUAACUGGGGAUGCAGUGUAUGGAGAGUUCAUUAGCUUAUUGCAAUAGAUAGUAGAUUCAAGUCCAUCUUGAAUGGGGCCCCUUAUCCCAUAGAGGGUGCCAGGCCCGUAGAAAUUACUAUCUGCAGUUUGCGAACUUCUCUUGAGAGUCGUGUUGCUUGAUAGUGCAGCAUUAAGUGGGUGGUAAACUCCAUCUAAGGCUAAAUAUAACCACGAGACCGAUAGAGAACAAGUACCGUGAGGGAAAGUUGAAAAGAACUCUGAAUAGAGAGUUAAAAAGUACGUGAAACCGUAUAGGGGUUAAGCCCGUUGAAUCUAAAUAUCCGAUGGAUGAAAUUCAAUACUGUUUUUCUACUAUUUAUAUUUUGUAUUUGUGGUAGUUAAGCAAUAUGCACUUUUCAUCUAGUAGGACACUGCAAUCUGUUAGAUUAAAUAUAGUUGCUUGCAUACUAUAUUUGAACUUAUCAAUGGAAUUCUUUUAGAUUGUUUAUCUGUUAAUAGUACUAAACAUACUAUUCGAUAAAUCUAUUUAGGAAUUUCGAUAAUGUUUGACUGACAGAUUACAAUAAAAAAUCAUACAACAUACAUAUGUAAUUUCCCCUUUUAC